UGGGAGAUGGCUCAAUGGUUAAGAGCACUGACUGCUCUUCCAGAGGUCCUGAGUUCAAUUCCCAGCACCCAU
rnacentral:tRNA from 1 species